GUUCAAGAGUACGUGAAACCGUUCAGGGGUAAACCUGAGAAACCCGAAAGGUCGAAUGGGGAAAUUCAUUCGCGUUUCGAUUGUCGGCGUUGAGCUGUUGCGUGACUAACGGGGUACGCUUCGUUGGCACCUUCAGUUCUACGAACCGACUUCGAACGCGUGCACUUUUCCCCUAGUAGGACGUCGCGAUCCGUUGGGCGUCGGUCUAAGGCCUGCGGUGGAGCUCGCGUGGACGUUUCGGCGUUCCGCACGAACCCGCAGUGUCCCGAUCGACACGCUCGACGGUAUAAAGAUGGCGCGGGGCCGCUACACAGUUAGCGUUCGGCCUACGGCAAGCACGUACGGUGUUUGAUGGCGAUCAGACCUGGUCGGAUCCCGUCCCCGGACGACUGUUGGCACGUAGUGUUCUCGAACAGACCUCGUUGAAACGCCGAUCUGCGACGCUAUUGCUUUGGGUACUUUCAGGACCCGUCUUGAAACACGGA
rnacentral:rRNA from 1 species